rnacentral:snRNA from 1 species
AUCCCUUCUCGGCCUUUUGGCUAAGAUCAAGUGUAGUAUAUAUAUAUUAUAGUGUCUUGUUAAGUUAUUAAAUUGUCCAGGGUAAGCUCAAAGUUUUGAUCCUUUUUUUUUUUUGGUACUGGGGAUCAAGCUCAGGACCUUGU